UCACAUUGUCCCUCCUCAGGGCACCCACGUAAAGGACACUGCUGAGUAACCACAUAGCACUUUGCCAAAUUCUAUUCAUAGCAUUGGUGGAAGAUGGGUGUGUUAUGUGUGUGGACAUUUUAAAAACACAUUUCACACAUAAGAUGUGGACUACCAACCAGGCAUGGUGGCUACACAUGUAAGCCUAAAACUCGGGAGGAUGAGGCAGGAGGACUCCUUUGAGUUCAAGACCAGCCGGAGUCCAAGCCAUCCUAGAAUACAAGGCUCAACAAACCUCAGACUUAUGAAGGAAAACCCUGCUCAGACAAAGAAACUCAUCCUGAAGGAUGCCAUCUGCAACUACUGCCCCUGCCUGUGGAUGACACCCCAGCGGAGACCUAAGUCACAUGGUCGGCUCCAGCUUUACUGCACCGGCCACAACCAUAAACCAAGCACGCUGGUGAGUGUCUACGGUGGGAGGCCGGGCAGUUACAGGAUGUGCCAGUAGCUACAGAGGGAAGGCAGAAGACAGGACAGAGCUUAUACCAAAUCUCCCCUUCAACAUCUACCUUCAGGGCUUCCAUGGCUCCCGCAGUCUUUUUUUUUUUUUUUUUUUGGUUCUUUUUUUUCGGAGCUGGGGACCGAACCCAGGGCCUUGCGCUUCCUAGGUAAGCAAGCGCUCUACCACUGAGCUAAAUCCCCAGCCCCGGCUCGGCUUGUGCAGUCUUAUAUU